rnacentral:rRNA from 1 species
GGGUGCGAUCAUACCAGCGUUAAUGCAUCGGAUCCCAUCAGAACUCCGCAGUUAAGCCCGCUUUGGCUGGAGUAGUACUGGGAUGGGUGACCUCCCAGGAAGUCCUAGUGUUGCACACU